GGAUCAAAACAAAUGCCUUUCUUUUUAUGUUUUUUCAUUCCCAGUUCUUUCCGAGUUCGAUUACGAAACGAAAAUUGGGAAUCCAUCUCCACAGCUUCAAAUCCUUUUUCAUUCAUCGAUUUCAGCUUUAAAUCCUUACAAUUCUCAUCGAUUUUGUCUUUCAAAUUGUUUGAAAUCAAUCUUCAAAAGGCACACAUGCGGGCAGAUCUAACACCGAGUUUCAGAAGCUCUCUUCUGUGAUAGCUCGACAGUAAAGUUUCAUACAAAUCUGUGUUCGUGGGAAGGGAUAAGCUACUCAUCGGUGAUCUUCAACCAGGUGCUUCAUAUGGACAGAAAUGAUUACUAUGGUGGGGAAACAACAUCGCUUAAUCUCAAUCAGCUUUGGAAGAAUCUCAAGGGAGAAGAGAAGGCUCCUGAGCAUUAACGUGCUAGCAGGGAUUACAAUGUGAUGGACCAGUUUAUGAUGGGUAAUGGAAAGCUUGUCCGUGUCCUUAUCCACACUGAUGUUAACUAAGUAUUUGUCCUUUAAAGCUGUUGAUGGAAGCUAUGUUUUCGUUAAAGUAAAGGUACAAGCUUCUCAUUGAUGUAUAGGUUUCACUGAUUCCUUUGGAGGCCCUGAAACUGGCUAAUUAAAGCAUCAUCUGGAGAAGAAGUGUACAACAAAAAUCAUGAAGACAGUACAGAUUAUACAAUACUGUAUAACAAAAUUGUAUCUUUCAUAUUAUAAUUUUAGUGACAUUGUAUUUGGAGCUGAUAUAUAUUCUAUGUAAAAUCAUAUUCGUGUGAUUAAUUGGAAUUUUUAUUU